CGAAUGCUGACAUAAGUAACGAUAAAGCGGGUGAAAAGCCCGCUCGCCGGAAGACCAAGGGUUCCUGUCCAACGUUAAUCGGGGCAGGGUGAGUCGACCCCUAAGGCGAGGCCGAAAGGCGUAGUCGAUGGGAAACAGGUUAAUAUUCCUGUACUUGGUGUUACUGCGAAGGGGGGACGGAGAAGGCUAUGUUGGCCGGGCGACGGUUGUCCCGGUUUAAGCGUGUAGGCUGGUUUUCCAGGCAAAUCCGGAAAAUCAAGGCUGAGGCGUGAUGACGAGGCACUACGGUGCUGAAGCAACAAAUGCCCUGCUUCCAGGAAAAGCCUCUAAGCAUCAGGUAACAUCAAAUCGUACCCCAAACCGACACAGGUGGUCAGGUAGAGAAUACCAAGGCGCUUGAGAGAACUCGGGUGAAGGAACUAGGCAAAAUGGUGCCGUAACUUCGGGAG
rnacentral:rRNA from 2 species